AAACUAACAAGGAUUCCCCUAGUAACGGCGAGUGAAGCGGGAAGAGCUCAAAUUUGUAAUCUGGCACUUUCAGUGUCCGAGUUGUAAUCUCGAGAAGUAUUUUCCGCGCCGGACCGCAUACAAGUCUGUUGGAAUACAGCGUCAUAGUGGUGAGAACCCCGUAACUGAUGCGGAUGCCCGGUGCUUUGUGAUAUACUUUCGAAGAGUCGAGUUGUUUGGGAAUGCAGCUCAAAUUGGGUGGUAAAUUCCAUCUAAAGCUAAAUAUUGGAGCAAGACCGAUAGCGAACAAGUACCGUGAGGGAAAGAUGAAAAGCACUUUGGAAAGAGAGUUAACAGUACGUGAAAUUGUUGGAAGGGAAACGCUUGAAGUCAGACUUGCUAUUCGGAGUUCAGCCGCAAGGUGUAUUCUUCGAUUUGCAGGCCAGCAUCAGUUUUUGGGGGUGGAAAAUCGUGGUUUGAAGGUAGCAGUUUCGGCUGUGUUAUAGCUUUCCACUGGAUUCAUCUUCGGGGACUGAGGAACGCAGUACGCUUUUUGCAAGGCUCUCGAGCU
rnacentral:rRNA from 1 species